UGGGGAAUAUUGGACAAUGGGCGAAAGCCUGAUCCAGCCAUGCCGCGUGUGUGAAGAAGGUCUUCGGAUUGCAAAGCACUUUAAGUUGGGAGGAAGGGCAGUAAGCGAAUACCUUGCUGUUUUGACGUUACCGACAGAAUAAGCACCGGCUAACUCUGUGCCAGCAGCCGCGGUAAUACAGAGGGUGCAAGCGUUAAUCGGAAUUACUGGGCGUAAAGCGCGCGUAGGUGGUUCGUUAAGUUGAAUGUGAAAGCCCCGGGCUCAACCUGGGAACUGCAUCCAAAACUGGCGAGCUAGAGUAGGGCAGAGGGUGGUGGAAUUUCCUGUGUAGCGGUGAAAUGCGUAGAUAUAGGAAGGAACACCAGUGGCGAAGGCGACCACCUGGGCUCAUACUGACACUGAGGUGCGAAAGCGUGGGGAGCAAACAGG
rnacentral:rRNA from 1 species